UACGGAAGGUGCAAGCGUUGUUCGGAAUGACUGGGCGUAAAGCGCACGUAGGCGGUUUUGUAAGUCGGAUGUGAAAGCCCUGGGCUCAACCCAGGAACAGCAUCCGAAACUGCAAAUCUUGAAUGCUUGAGAGGUUAGUAGAAUUCUUGGUGUAGGAGUGAAAUCCGUAGAGAUCAAGAGGAAUACCGGAGGCGAAGGCGACUAACUGGCGAUGCAUUGACGCUGAGGUGCGAAAGCGUGGGGAGCAAACAGG
rnacentral:rRNA from 1 species